GUUAGCAGUAAAGUUUUUAAUUAGAUGAAGAAAAGCAAUUUAAAGGAUGUUAUCAUAAUCUUGUAUCAGCAGGUUUCCUGCAGAUUCUGAUAGUCUAGAACUGCAGUCAGCACAGGUUUUUUGUGUUGGGUUUAAUCAGUUUUGUGUAAUACAGGUAGCGGAAAGACGUUUGAAAGGAAUCCAUUAAUGUCUGACCUAAAUUCACCUUACAUCACACUAGCCAACACAAACAAGAAGAUGCUUUUUUACACAUAAAAUAGUAUACAAAGUACAAGGGGAAGAUGUAGCAUAAAAUUUUUCUACACCAGUUUUAAAACCACUUGAGUGAUGAGUGUGACUUGUUAUCCUUUUGGGCCUCUUGUGCUGUUGUGGCACAGAUAACAUGGAACAGAGAAAUAUUAAUGUUUAAUUCCUUUUCUCUUUAUUUGAUUGCAAAAUAGAUUAAUUGAAAUGAAUGAUAAAAAUCUAGUCUUAUGUCCUGUGGCCAUUUUAGUAACCUACUGAACUACUGGUGUCUUUCAUUGCCGGCUGUCAAAGCACCCAGCGCUCAUUAACAUAUUUCAGCCUUGCAGCCUCACUCAAAUUUGGAAAGUAUUACUCAUCUCUUACAGAUAGACAAAUGGGGCAAAGUUAUCUAUUAGACAGCUUUGCAAGAUAGUUUAGUCAAAGCCAUUCACUGCUAAGAAAAGAACCAAUCUUUUGGGAGGUUCAGUUUAUUGUCUUCCACUAGCUCUUACAUCAAAGAAAAACAGAACAAAAAUCAUUAAGCAGACUUACAAAAUUCAAGUUCUCUGCUGACUGUUUCAAUGAACUUAAUAUCAACAAAAGAAUAAUUAUAUAUACGUUCAUUAUUCACUUGUCAAUAAAUCUAACAAAAAUCACUAGGUCAUUUAAAAUUAAAAAGAGGGUGAAAAAAGGAGAAUCAAGAAAAGUAAAAAGCUUAAAUUUGUGUUUAGGCAGAUUUUACUGCGCAUUUUAUGAAUUAUUACCCACAGAACAACUAAGCCACUGAAAAAUAACUAAUUGCAAUUUGAUUUUUCAGAUUAUUAUACUAUUUUGGGGCACAAACUUCAGUGACAGUAUAAGCAUAUAUAUGUCCCUGAGGCAUAAGGAACAUUUUUCUUGAUGCUAUAUUAUUAUGCUAUAGAUUCAUUUUCUUUAGUAGUUAUCCUAAUACUUUUUUUUUUUUUAAAGAUUGGGGCAUUACUGUACAUGACAUAGUUGUCUUGUCCAUGAGCAGUGGUGUAAGAACAUAAUGGAUAUAUUUUUACUUCUUUUGACCUAACUCUUAAGUAUAUUGCCCCAUCUCUGGGAUCUUACAAAUGACUCCUAUCAGAGUGAUGGAAUUUGGUGAUUCUCUUGUGCAAUGUACAAAGAACGCCCCCCUCCCCCCAAAAAGAAAAUCUUUCUUGAGCACAGUAAGUAUCAAAUAAGAGAAAGCUUACAGUUCCACAACUGGUUUUCAGCCAAACCGUAGCCCUCAAACAUUUUUUCUAUCAAAAUUCCGCCCCCCCAAAAAUAUUUGCACAAUGGCAAAUUCUAAUAUCUGUCUUUCAGCCAUUCUAUGUAAUAUUUUAUUUUGCUUCUCUCAGAAGCACUGAUUCAACAAGUUAUACUCCUUGGGACCUAGAAUGAGCGCUUGGUACUUCAGAAUUUGUGAUACCCCUUGGUCUUCAAGGGCCUGUCCCAUUUCCCCUGUCCUCCUCCUCUUCUCCACCUUCUUGUAUGGUUUAGUAAUCUAAAUUUAUCUGAAUAUUAUACUGUUUGAUUAACUGAAAUGGAAGUGUGGUUGUUAUGCCCACCAAUUUCAAAGUUGAAUGCAACCCAUGACAAAAGCAGAAAAAUCAAUACUUUCUCCCUUAUGAGUUUCAUCUGCAAUUAUCUACAUAACAAGGAUUCUUCUGAAAAUACCGUUUGCAAUGCUGGUUUUCAAAUCAUGACAUCAGAAGUUUUGCAACGGUUAUCUUAAUAUGCAUUUGAAAUUCAGAUCAGUUCUUCCAUCUUCAUGCAUUUGCAUUAUGAUGUAAAUUCUUCCACUUAGCUAAUGCAGUAUCAAUUACAUAGGCUAUGUAGCAGAGUAACUGUACGUUGUACGUCACAGCUAUGGAUUGUGAGAUAGUCUGUUUUAAUACUCACAGGAUUUUUUUUCUACCUGUGCAACAGUGGGUACUGGAAUUGUCGCAUUAAAAGGUGUCGAGUCAAAAUUUAGUACUUACACAUCUCUGAUUUGGCAGGAAAGGAGUGAAACUAUACUGCACAUAACAAUGGAACUUAAUGCAUAUCCUAAAAGCAAAUACCAACUAGGAUUUCACCUAUUUUGUCUUUCUAUUUUCACUGAAGUGAAAGGGAAUUUGCUACAGAUUUCAAAAGAAUCAAGACUUCAUACCUUGAAUAGAGGAAAACAGUGAAAUUACUUAAUUGUUGUAAUGAUCUCCAAAAUGUUAACCAAAACACAUACUCAGUGAUGUAUGUUUGAAAGAAAGAAAGAAAGAAAGAAAGAUAGAAAGAUAAGAGGAUGGGUGGACAUGGACCUGUGUGGAAAUGGAUUUGAACUAGACGAACAUAUAUAAAUAAAAUAAAUGCAAAUAUACUGGAAUACCUUAUAAAGUUUAAAAGGAAUACAAGCAAAUUUUAUCUUGCAUGCUGUUUGUAAUAGUUCUUUUUAUAUGAUUAAAAAGUUAGAGGCUUGCACCUUCCUGCAGAGUAGAAUAUAUUAAUUAAUGGAACAAGGAAUUGGAGUAAGUGUAAAUGAAGUAGAUAUAACCUUAAAAAUCUCGUUACACACAUUACAUGCAGUUGGUUACUAAUUCUUUAUUCAGUUUCAUAAGAAGAACUCAGACUAACAUGACUGGUUUUAGUUUAGCCGCUAUAAGUUUUAAAUAAUUUUAUUUAGAUAUUCAAAUGCAAUAACUUUUUUUUUCCCCCCUUAAGAUUGCCUCCUUUCUAGAUUUUCAAUCUGGUUUUUUUUAGUUCUUCAGGUGCAGAAGAAUUUUAAGAACUGAUAAAAGUGAAUGCUGCUUUAUAAAAUAGAUCAUCUAUUGUAACAGCUUCAUUCUUACGUGAGAUCCUUAAGAGUGCCACUUAAAACAUAAAACCCACAUGAACUAGAAGUUGCUGGAAUUUGUAGAACUUGGACAUCUGCCUUUUAGGCAAUGGGCAUUUCCGUCUGAAGGAGUUAGAGGUUGUUAUUACCAAACCAUUCCAAAGCUCCAAACCAGAACUUCCAGCAGUAUUUUAGGGAAGAAAGACAUGGUAUUUGAUCAAUUUUACCUUCUGGUUUCAUUCAGAAUUCC